CAUCCGACACCUGGGAAGGGUGGGGGCAGGGGACAUCCAGUUUGAUUCUGGUUGAGGGGCUGAUGUAAGCAGGUGAUUUUUGGCUGUCAGCUGAAUUUUCUCAGGUGCUUCUGAUGUUGCCAGCCCCAAAAGAUGAAGUAUCACAGGGACCCUCCACCUUGGCUGUUUGUUGGACUCACCUGAGGGAGUUUAAAAAGCUAUUGAUGCUGAGCUGUGCCCCAGACCAAGUAAAGUCAGCACCUCUGGGAGGCGCGAGGCAGGCAUCAGUGUGUAUCAAACCCCCUGGUUAUUCAGUGGCGUCAGGGAUGAUGAGCCACCGGUGACAGCAGAGUACUUUUCUCACCAAAGUUUAA
rnacentral:lncRNA from 1 species